rnacentral:rRNA from 1 species
GCAGGUGGCAAGCGUUGUCCGGAAUUAUUGGGCGUAAAGCGCGCGCAGGCGGUUCUUUAAGUCUGAUGUGAAAGCCCACGGCUCAACCGUGGAGGGUCAUUGGAAACUGGAGAACUUGAGUACAGAAGAGGAAAGCGGAAUUCCACGUGUAGCGGUGAAAUGCGUAGAGAUGUGGAGGAACACCAGUGGCGAAGGCGGCUUUCUGGUCUGUAACUGACGCUGAGGCGCGAAAGCGUGGGGGAGCAAGCAGGAUUAGAUACCCUGGUAGUCCACGCCGUAAACGAUGAGUGCUAAGUGUUAGGGGGUUUCCGCCCCCCCCUUAGUGCUGCAGCUAACGCAUUAAGCACUCCGCCUGGGAGUACGGCCGCAAGGCUG